rfam:Ailuropoda melanoleuca scaffold346_24, whole genome shotgun sequence.
CAUUUUUCUGAUUGCCUGUAGGUCGGCUAUUAGAAAAGAAAGAUCAGCUAAGUCCUUUGGACCUGAUCAACUUAACCCGGCAGCUACUGAUUUCAACUACUUCGGCCGAACUACGAAACGAUGAAUUAUACAAGCUAUAUCUUAGCUUUCCAGCUUUGCGUGAUU